rnacentral:lncRNA from 1 species
AUGGUGAGAAGGGUACCCAAACACUUGAAUGGUACUGUACCCUCUACUUGCCAUCUGAAUCCUCACUUGUGGAACCCAGGCACUCUGGCUGUAUUCGCGAGUAAGCAUAGGUGUGGGACUGUGUCCUGCCAUUGCACCAUCUUUAAUCUGGACUUGUGGACCUCAGGCUCUCUGACUAUUCAUGGACAGAAGUUUCUGCAGGCACAGGUGGGGUGCUGUUUCCUCCCAUUGUACACCUGAAUUCAGGACUUGUGGACCCCAGGUGUUCUGGCUGUGUUCAUGAACAGAAGUGUCCCCCCCAAACAAACCCAUAUAUGGUGCCAUCUCCUCCCAUUACAGUCACAGAUAUGGCACCAGCCCCUCCAACAGAAACAGAUGUGCUCAAGCUGAGUGGUCCAAAGGCGUUUGACAGAAGUCAUGAACAGAAGUAUCUUGGGGCACAUGUUUCUUCUCUGUUGUGCAGGCUUCUCCAGCAGUAACAGGUUUGCCCAGGCCAUAUGGGCCCCAAGCGCUCUGACCAGACACAAGAAGAGAAGACUUGCAGUCACAGGGUAUCUUCUUCCAAAAUUGGAACUGAGCUACCUGAUGGAAAAUGAGCAAGAUUAUUGUGUGGUGAAGAGAGGCCUCUCAUAAAGUUCCUGUCCAG